rnacentral:rRNA from 1 species
UAGGGAAUAUUAGUAAUGGGCGAAAGCCUGAACUAGCAACGCCGCGUGUGCGAAGAAGGCCUUCGGGUUGUAAAGCACUUUUUGAGAGGAUGGGGAAGGACGGUACUCUCAGAAUAAGUCUCGGCUAACUACGUGCCAGCAGCCGCGGUAACACGUAGGAGGCAAACGUUAUCCGGAUUUACUGGGCGUAAAGCGCGUGUGGGUGGUUUGGUAAGUAGGGCGUGAAAGCUCCUGGCUCAACUGGGAGAGGCCGUUCUAAACUGCCGAACUAGAGGAUGGUAGAGGGAGGUGGAAUUCCGGGUGUAGCGGUGGAAUGCGCAGAUAUCCGGAGGAACACCAGUGGCGAAAGCGGCCUCCUGGACCAUUCCUGACACUCAGACGCGAAAGCUAGGGUAGCAAACGG